CGCCAUUCCAUUCCCACCUUCGUCACCGGCUUCACCACCAUACAACCUCAACCGCUGUCGCACUUCGCGGGCGAAAAAGCUUCAUGAUAGUCGCAACACCACCGUCCGGUUCGAACCCGAUACAUCCCACCGUGACCACAAUAGCAUCACAACUCUCAACCUUCUUUUUGGACGUAUGGAUCGCCUCUAUUCUAUACGAGUUACUGGUGUUGCCGCUGCAAUCGGUUGCCGCGAUCGUCUGUUCUGAACAUGUUACCCUUAACACCAUUGCCGUCUCACACUCCGCCGCCACAGCCACAACUUCAUCGUCCCAACCACUAAUCCCAAACCAAGUACGAAUGAGCUCCGUUUACGAGACUACUUUCUAUCAUAACCCUCAUCCCUUUCUAACUUCGAUCUCCUUUGUCUAGCCGAGCUUUAUUAUUGCAUCAUACUAGCCACCACGAAUCUACGUGACCACCUUGACUUGUUUUCGGUUACGUGCAACAAGCGCAACAUCAAAUCUGUUAUGUCUAGUCGUCAUUUGAGGUGUUAGAUUAUUUGGUGGCUACUUGAAUUUGGUUUACUUUGCUUUGCCGAAUUAAGGUAAUCUGGGAUAAUCUGGGAUUUCAGUGAGGAGCGUUAGGAGGUUGCUGACCGAGGUUUUCUAUUUCAGUAAUGUAAUAAAACGUAGUUAGGAUCUUUUUUAUUUAAUGUUAUGGAUUGAUUUUAGUUUUGAUAUCUGUAAAAGUGACACGUCAGCCCUAGCGGGGUUGGGGUGU